rnacentral:lncRNA from 1 species
GACUCACUUUUCGUGAUACAGUGCUCUGCGGGCAGGAGGCGCUUCUUGAGGAGUCCUUGCAGCACAGAGCGGACGGAGGGCCGGUGUACCAGCUGCAGCACGAAGACAGCAGGCCGUGACGGUGAUCUGGAUGGUGUUGCGGCCCGGCUGGCACACGUGCUUCAGGUGCAGGGGCUUGUGGGAGGUCUUGUUGUCGCCGCGCUCAAUGGUGAGGGGCGUGGCGUUCACGCUGACCUGCACCGAGGCGGGCCAGUUGGUGUUCAUCUGCCGGUCCUCGUGGUGGUAGCACUUGAACUGCAGCUCCAGGAGGUGGAACACAUGGUUGCUGACCGCCAGGUUGUGCUCCAGGCGGAAGGGCUCCAGCACCACGCCAUCCCGCACAGGGAAUGUGAGCCGCAGCUCGUCAUUGUGGUUGGCUGG